UACGUAGGGAGCAAGCGUUUGUCCGGAAUCAUUGGGCGUAAAGCGCGCGUAGGCGGCCCUGUAAGUCCGUUGUGAAAGUCAAAGGCUCAACCUUUGAAAGCCGAUGGAUACUGCAGGGCUAGAGUCCGGAAGAGGCGAGUGGAAUUCCUGGUGUAGCGGUGAAAUGCGCAGAUAUCAGGAGGAACACCGGUGGCGAAGGCGGUUCUCUGGGCCUUACCUGACACUGAGGAGCGAAAGCGUGGGGAGCGAACAGG
rnacentral:rRNA from 1 species